rnacentral:rRNA from 1 species
GACGAACGCUGGCGGCGUGCUUAACACAUGCAAGUCGAACGAUGAACCGGAGCUUGCUCUGGGGAUUAGUGGCGAACGGGUGAGUAACACGUGGGCAACCUGCCCCAGACACCGGGAUAACCAUUCGAAAGGAUGGCUAAUACCGGAUACGACCACUUCGGGCAUCCGAUGGUGGUGGAAAGGAUUCUGGUCUGGGAUGGGCCCGCGGCCUAUCAGCUUGUUGGUGGGGUAAUGGCCUACCAAGGCGACGACGGGCAGCCGGCCUGAGAGGGCGACCGGCCACACUGGGACCGAGACACGGCCCAGACUCCUACGGGAGGCAGCAGUGGGGAAUAUUGCGCAAUGGGCGAAAGCCUGACGCAGCGACGCCGCGUGAGGGACGAAGGUCUUCGGAUCGUAAACCUCUUUCAGCAGGGAUGAAGCGAAAGUGACAGUACCUGCAGAAGAAGCACCGGCUAACUACGUGCCAGCAGCCGCCGUAACAC